CUUCUCUGCUUUUUCCAAUCCACGUCUUGGGUCUACAGAGCUGCUCUUUAUUGACUUUCCAUUGUGGUUUGAACCUAGAACACCCUCCAUAUGUUGAUUUAUUUGAACACCUGGUCCACAGCUGGUGGUUCUGUUUGAGAAGGUCUUAUGUCCUUGUUGGUGAAGACGAGCCAACAGGGCUUUGUGAGUUGUGGUCUGCUCUUCUGUGGUCCUGCUUUCUGUUUCCCGGUCUGGAGAGACACAACAGCCAGAGAGUCCAGUACGACAGAGCCUCCAUACAAUGCCAUCCUUGAAAUGAUGCCAUACACAAACCACAGUCCAGACACAUUUCUCCUCUCUCAAGUUGAUGGUAUCAGGUACUUAGUGUGAAGACAAGAGUGACUGAUUCUGAACAAUGGUACCAAGAGGUGAGGAUCCUUCUGUGAUAAACCUGACCCUGUAGCUCUUAGGUCUUCAGAACUGAUUUCUGGAAGGACUGUGGAAGAAUUUGAAGCUGAAGACUAGAGGAGCCCAAGAAUGUUGUAAAAGAGCCUAAUGAGCCAAUCUGGUGGAACUUGGAAGGCCAGAACACAGAUGGAAAUGUGGAUAAGAUAUUUCUUCUCUUCAGCUGAGCAGGCUGCUGAAACCUGUUCUAACGGGGCUUGGAUAGGUCUCAAAUUUGUUUUCAUCCACGUCGCUGACUUUGCCAGCAUGCAGAAUACAAGGAUGACAUUCUUCUGAAGAUUUGCAUAGAGGUUCAGGGGCUGGCGGGAGCCUAUGAGACCUGGCAGUGUGUGACAAGGCCAGACUCCCUGCCAGAAUGCCCAGAGAGGCCAGCAUGCAUACCUAAACUGCAGUGGAGACACGAAGACACCAGGAAUACGAGGCAUCUGCCGUACAGGUCAUGCGGAGGCAUUGGACACCUGCAGCUGGAGUUACAGGCAAUUGUGAGCUGCCCAACAUGUAUGCUGAGAACUAAGUUCAUGUCCUUUGCAAAAGCAGUAAGACUGUGCAAACAGGAGAGAAACGCAGAGGCGUUUACUAAUAUCGGAAGAUCACAAACAGUAAGCAGAUGGGAGAGAGACCAGCCUGAGACAGCGACCAACACAAUGUGUGUGGCUGUGUGUGGUGAUGGUGACCACCCUGUUCUGCAGCAGAGUCACCCCAGGCUGCUCUGUGGCUUCUCUUUCCAUUUCCAAUUUUGAGCCUGCAGUGCUGGAGAUAUUUCAAGCAACCAAGUUACUCUCAAAGGGAAAAAACAGGCAAUGGAGAGACGGGCUGGGUCGGGAUGUUAAGAAACAGUCACCACAGCGGGCGAUGGCUUGACGUGAACUUUUCUAAGUCUGUCUCUCUUCUUGUCUUUGUUCACCUUUCUCUCUGUCUCUGAAGCUGAAGAAAGACUUCAAAUACUGGGCAAAGUCUGAGUGUCAUGGAACAAGAAGUCCCAGAGCUGUUGGAUCUUCAUUCCAUUGGCUCUGAAAUACAACAUGGAUCUGCAAGCCGGACCUGUAGGAGUCACAUGUUAGCCGAGUCAAAAUCGAAGAUGAGACUGGUUUGAACAUCUGAGAAAAUGCACUUAAGUCACAAUCAACUCGCUCAUGUGAGCACCAUACAGCUUUAUUGUGGAUUAAAAGCCCCAUAUUAUUGCAGCACCC
rnacentral:lncRNA from 1 species